GUUACGUCGGCUUACGGCAAUUCUUUGAUUAAUCAGUUAUUUUCGAUAGCGUUUUACCGUCGCUGGCGGAGAUUUUCGAAGUUGAGACACAUUUUUGUUCCAUCGGCCAGAGCAUUUAGCAUCAAGUCUGACGAUUCUUUCGUUCUGGGGCAUUUAAUUAGCGAAUGAGACACGAUUUUUGAGAGACAAAAGUUGUUGUUUUCAUAUGCUAAUCAGUCUGAUUCUACUGCGAAUAGUAACGGUACAAUGUUUUCAGCAACGAACUGAUAAUGCGAGAUAACUCCAGUUAUAAACCGAUAAUUCAAGGAACUGCUUUGACUCACUAAUGUCUAAAAAUGGGGUACAUGGAAGAAUGUAAUGGUUUGUCCACGACUUGUUUGUCAUUGGUCAUUUACGACUAUUAUGGAUUUAAAAACAUGACAGCUAUGCAAUGUUUUAUGAGUUCUAUCAUUUGACAGAUGUGUUGACAGUGCAAUGUUUAUUGGUAAUUUUUUCACUCCGAAAAGAUUAUCAUGACAAUAUCUGUUCUGCAUGUCUAGCAACAAUGGCAAAUCAAAGAGUUACUCUUAUUUUCUUUAAUUUGAAAUCGUAGAUAUGCUAUAUACAAAAUGUUUGUUCUGACAUAUUAUAUUAUCAUUACGAAAUAAAUAUUAGUCUUAUAAAAUCGUUAAAAAUCCAGUGAGCAAACUAAAAUUUAGAUUCUAAACGGUAGCUCGAAAAUCAGAUAAAAAUGAACAACGUCUUUCGAAAGACAAUGAACUUCCUGAUUCCAUCAGUCAUUAAUAUGUGAAAAAAAUAGACCUAUUAAUCUUCAUGGAGAGAUGCGGAUUAAUUGAGUAUAUUGAGUAACAUGAACUUGUUUAUGGAUAAGUACUUCAUUAAUACUUUUUUUUUAUUUGCAUUGCUGAUUGUCGGAUUAAUUUCUAUUGCGUGUGGACCUCAUUAAAUAACACCGUAAAUAGUUAUGUCAAUAAAAUAAUUUACUAGACCUGUCAUGUA